UAAUUACCAGAACCGUCAGUAAUAGGUAUACACCGAGAUCAUUCCCUUUAGAAAUAAUAGCUUGUGUUGCGCGCCUAAAUUCAACGUCCUCAACAUCAUCAUCAUCUUACGAAAACAAUGAGAACAACAUGUUAAAUCAUAACAGAUCGAACGUGUUCGGGAAACUCCUAAAUCUAGAUUUAAAUUGAAAGAGAAAAGCUCUCAAAUUCAUAUCUCCACCUAAAUCGGGAUAGAAGAGCCUUCACCAAAUCUCAGAAAAGUCAUAGAAUCAUGUCUCGAAAAUCCUACUGGCUUGAUUGGUGACGAAGUUCUCACAAAAUUUUCAACUGUAAGCAAAUUUAUUCCCCAUGACGAGCGGAGAAAAGCAACAACAACGAGUGAAAGAAGAUGUUAAACAAGCCAAAAAAAGACACUGAAAUUAGGUCAGAAGAGAAGAGAAAAGAAAAAAAGAAAAAGAAAGAAAUCAAGGCCUAGAAAAAGAAAAGCAUAGCAAAGCAGGCUCUAGAGCUUCCGGGUGAAGUUUCUUCGAAGGAGUUUUUUUUAUGGAAGAGAG
rnacentral:lncRNA from 1 species